rnacentral:rRNA from 1 species
GACGAACGCUGGCGGCGUGCUUAACACAUGCAAGUCGAACGGGAUUCAUGGAAGCUUGCUUCCGGAAGAUCUAGUGGCGAACGGGUGCGUAACACGUGAGAAACCUGCCCCAGACUUGGGAAUAACAGUCGGAAACGACUGCUAAUACCGAAUACCUUCGGACCGUCGCAUGGCGGACCGACGAAAGCUUUUGCGGUUUGGGAGGGUCACGCGGCCUAUCAGCUAGUUGGUGAGGUAACGGCUCACCAAGGCAUCGACGGGUAGCUGGUCUGAGAGGAUGAUCAGCCACACUGGGACUGAGACACGGCCCAGACUCCUACGGGAGGCAGCAGUGGGGAAUAUUGCACAAUGGGCGAAAGCCUGAUGCAGCAACGCCGCGUGCGGGAAGAAGGCCUUAGGGUUGUAAACCGCUUUCAGCAGGGAAGAAGAUGACGGUACCUGCAGAAGAAGGUGCGGCCAACUACGUGCCAGCAGCCGCCGUAAGAC